ACGCUCGACACCUACGGGAGGCGCAGUGGGGAAUAUUGCACAAUGGGGGAAACCCUGAUGCAGCGACGCCGCGUGAAGGAAGAAGUAUUUCGGUAUGUAAACUUCAUCAGCAGGGAAGAAACUGACGGUACCUGACUAAGAAGCACCGGCUAAAUACGUGCCAGCAGCCGCGGUAAUCUGAGGCGGGCGUGGCAAGGC
rnacentral:rRNA from 1 species